rnacentral:misc_RNA from 1 species
CGCACAUUGCGCCCUUUGGUAUUCCGAGGGGCAUGCCUGUUCGAGCGUCAUUUAGACCAAUCAAGCACAGCUUGGCUUUGGACGUCGGUCUUGACACCGGUCCGAAACUCUCGUAUGGCGGUACCGUCCAGCUUCGAGCGUAGCAAGAAUUUUCCCUCGCUUUAGAAGCUUUGGUAGGACUGCCAGGUAACCUUUACCUAAAGUUUGACCUCGGAUCAGGUAGGGAUACCCGCUGAACUUAA